AUUGAACGCUGGCGGCAGGCUUAAUACAUGCAAGUCGAACGAUCACUUCGGUGAUAGUGGCGCACGGGUGCGUAACGCGUGGGAAUCUGCCCUUGGGUUCGGAAUAACAGCUGGAAACGGCUGCUAAUACCGGAUGAUGACGUAAGUCCAAAGAUUUAUCGCCCAGGGAUGAGCCCGCGUAGGAUUAGGUAGUUGGUGGGGUAAAGGCCUACCAAGCCUACGAUCCUUAGCUGGUCUGAGAGGAUGAUCAGCCACACUGGGACUGAGACACGGCCCAGACUCCUACGGGAGGCAGCAGUAGGGAAUAUUGGACAAUGGGGGCAACCCUGAUCCAGCAAUGCCGCGUGAGUGAUGAAGGCCUUAGGGUUGUAAAGCUCUUUUACCCGGGAUGAUAAUGACAGUACCGGGAGAAUAAGCCCCGGCUAACUCCGUGCCAGCCGCCGCCGUAA
rnacentral:rRNA from 1 species